rnacentral:precursor_RNA from 1 species
GCCUUCUGACUGUGGUCAGGUCCCUGCCAGUGCUGGGGGCCACAUGAGUGUGCAGUCAUCCACACACAAGUGGCCCCCAACACUGGCAGGGACCCGGAGUCAUCUGGCCCAUCC